rnacentral:other from 1 species
UGUCGCCUGAGAUGCACGUUAUCUUUAAUAUGUCCAACCUACUUUUAUAAAUGGGGAAUCCAAUGUUAUGGGGCUGUCGAGCCACCGCUGAGUGGAUGACAAAAGCAUAACUAGGAUGCCCACCUGCGAGUAGCGGGUUUGGACAUAGAAAGAGACGACAUUGCGGGCUUUCC